CUGCGCUAGGAUCUGUGGCCGCCAAAGUAAUCGCCUACUGGCUGCCCCUCUUCGUGCUGCAGGGCAGCAACGACCGCUUAAAGUACAUCAUAGGACCGCUGUUGUGCUUCCUCCUGUUCAUCGGGAUGGAGAUGGAGCGAUGGGAAAAUGUUGGCCUCCACAUCAUUUUUCCUCUACUGAGUUUAUAUCUCCUCUUCACGCUUAAGCGUGACUGAAAGCAUGAAGGGCUCCAAGCAGUGCAACUCAUUCGUGCAGGACGGCGACGCGCAAGAACAGUUUUUUGUUUUGUUUUUUUGUGUUUUGGGAAGAAUCUUCCUCUGCAGUAGCUUGAAGCGCUGCUCCCCGCAAAUCCCGUUUCAGCACACGUUAGCACUGUCAUCGAAGGAUUGAUUACCGCUUGCCCGGGUGAGUGAUUCGUGACCUUCCUGCAGUCAUUUUCGUGUGCGCAUACGAAUGCAGCCUGUAUUCUGCAGUUGUAUGCAGAGACGAAC